GAUGAACGCUGGCGACGUGCCUAAUACAUGCAAGUAGAACGCUGAAGCUUGGUGCUUGCACCGAGCGGAUGAGUUGCGAACGGGUGAGUAACGCGUAGGUAACCUGCCUCUUAGCGGGGGAUAACUAUUGGAAACGAUAGCUAAUACCGCAUAAAAGUCGAUAUCGCAUGAUAUUGAUUUGAAAGGUGCAAUUGCAUCACUAAGAGAUGGACCUGCGUUGUAUUAGCUAGUUGGUGAGGUAACGGCUCACCAAGGCGACGAUACAUAGCCGACCUGAGAGGGUGAUCGGCCACACUGGGACUGAGACACGGCCCAGACUCCUACGGGAGGCAGCAGUAGGGAAUCUUCGGCAAUGGGGGCAACCCUGACCGAACAACGCCGCGUGAGUGAAGAAGGUUUUCGGAUCGUAAAGCUCUGUUGUAAGAGAAGAACGAGUGUGAGAGUGGAAAGUUCACACUGUGACGGUAACUUAACAGAAAGGGACGGCUAACUACGUG
rnacentral:rRNA from 1 species